UUGUGGAGGAGGACGCCGAAGGUGGGGCUGAUGACUGGGGUGAAGUCGUAACAAGGUAGCCGUACCGGAAGGUGCGGCUGGAUCACCUCCUAACAGGGAGACAAAAAAUUGAUUGUGAUGUCUAAGUUUUUUCUCCUAGGCCUCAAUCCUGUCACCUUAGGUCGAUCGGUACCUCAGAUUAAUUAAUUUUAUUUUUAAGUAAGUAAUUGAUUUCAGUUCCUAAACUUGUCUAGGUCACACCCAACAUUGGUUUCUCCUGGGCCAUUAGCUCAGGUGGUUAGAGCGCACCCCUGAUAAGGGUGAGGUCCCUGGUUCAAGUCCAGGAUGGCCCAUUCGUUGUUGGGGGUAUAGCUCAGUUGGUAGAGCGCCUGCUUUGCAAGCAGGAUGUCAGCGGUUCGAGUCCGCUUACCUCCACUGAUCAACUACCUGAUAACUCAAAUUGGAGAUUGUUAUUUGUUAAAUGUGAUUUAGAUGUUGUUCAACUGAAGGAACCUAGCUUCCUAUCACUCCUGAAUUAAUUUGGGCUGAUAAGACGCUGGGCUCACUGAAUGUUCUACGGGACAUUCAGUUUGUUUCAGCAGAACCUUGACAACUGCAUAGGAAAAUCUAGAAAAAUAAAGCAUCUCAUAGAUGCAUAGAAGUUUUUUCAUUUUUAAUGAUUAGAUUUUUAUGUUCAAUUCUUGAGUUAGAGCAAAUUUUCUAUUACUUAAUUCACUUAGAGAUAAGUGAUGACUAAUUAAUUUUAGCUAAGUUUAAUAGAUUAAUGGUCAAGCUACAA
rnacentral:misc_RNA from 1 species